UUUAAGCUGAUUAAGGAAAUUACUUGUGAAAUUACUACUCAUUUAGCUCAAUUUAAGCUGAUUAAGGGUUUCAAAAUUGUUUUAUUCCGAAGUGGUGAUGUAUAAAUGCAACGAAACCCCUAAUUUCAUUCUUCCCCAAUCCAGCAGCUAAGUCUUUGAGAGUGAGUGAGGGAGAGUAAUUCUUCUCAUCGGAAAUGGUUCAAUACAGAUUCCAUCAAUACCAAGUUGUUGGGAGGGCUCUUCCUUCUGAGAGAGAUGAGCAUCCAAAGAUCUAUCGUAUGAAGCUGUGACGAAUGAAGUUCGUGCAAAAUCCAAAUUCUGGUAUUUCUUAAGGAAGCUGAAAAAGGUUAAGAAAAGCAAUGGUCAGAUCCUGGCCAUUAAUGAAGAAAUUACUUGUGAAAUUACUACUCAUUUAGCUCAAUUUAAGCUGAUUAAGGGUUUCAAAAUUGUUUUAUUCCGAAGUGGUGUUGAUAAAUGCAACGAAACCCCUAAUUUCAUUCUUCCCCAAUCCAGCAGCUAAGUCUUUGAGAGUGAGUGAGGGAGAGUAAUUCUUCUCAUCGGAAAUGGUUCAAUACAGAUUCCAUCAAUACCAAGUUGUUGGGAGGGCUCUUCCUUCUGAGAGAGAUGAGCAUCCAAAGAUCUAUCGUAUGAAGCUGUGACGAAUGAAGUUCGUGCAAAAUCCAAAUUCUGGUAUUUCUUAAGGAAGCUGAAAAAGGUUAAGAAAAGCAAUGGUCAGAUCCUGGCCAUUAAUGAAGAAAUUACUUGUGAAAUUACUACUCAUUUAGCUCAAUUUAAGCUGAUUAAGGGUUUCAAAAUUGUUUUAUUCCGAAGUGGUGAUGUAUAAAUGCAACGAAACCCCUAAUUUCAUUCUUCCCCAAUCCAGCAGCUAAGUCUUUGAGAGUGAGUGAGGGAGAGUAAUUCUUCUCAUCGGAAAUGGUUCAAUACAGAUUCCAUCAAUACCAAGUUGUUGGGAGGGCUCUUCCUUCUGAGAGAGAUGAGCAUCCAAAGAUCUAUCGUAUGAAGCUGUGACGAAUGAAGUUCGUGCAAAAUCCAAAUUCUGGUAUUUCUUAAGGAAGCUGAAAAAGGUUAAGAAAAGCAAUGGUCAGAUCCUGGCCAUUAAUGAAGAAAUUACUUGUGAAAUUACUACUCAUUUAGCUCAAUUUAAGCUGAUUAAGGGUUUCAAAAUUGUUUUAUUCCGAAGUGGUGUUGAUAAAUGCAACGAAACCCCUAAUUUCAUUCUUCCCCAAUCCAGCAGCUAAGUCUUUGAGAGUGAGUGAGGGAGAGUAAUUCUUCUCAUCGGAAAUGGUUCAAUACAGAUUCCAUCAAUACCAAGUUGUUGGGAGGGCUCUUCCUUCUGAGAGAGAUGAGCAUCCAAAGAUCUAUCGUAUGAAGCUGUGACGAAUGAAGUUCGUGCAAAAUCCAAAUUCUGGUAUUUCUUAAGGAAGCUGAAAAAGGUUAAGAAAAGCAAUGGUCAGAUCCUGGCCAUUAAUGAAUUUGUGACCCUUUCUUCCUCAUUUUCCCCAAUUCAAUUGAACCCUAAGUAAAAGUCGACAAAUACUCUCUCAUUUUCCUCCAUUAAAACACCUUCAAACCUUCUAUUAGUCCCUCCCUCUUCCUACCCAACACUACUAAAGUGGUCUAGCAAAUACUUCCAGUUGUCUAAGUGCAGGAAAUUACUUGUGAAAUUACUACUCAUUUAGCUCAAUUUAAGCUGAUUAAGUUCCAUCAAUACCAAGUUGUUGGGAGGGCUCUUCCUUUUGAGAGAGAUGAGCAUCCAAAGAUCUAUCGUAUGAAGCUGUGGGCAACGAAUGAAGUUCGUGCAAAAUUGAUCCAAGUACGCGUGGUGGUUGAAGAAAUUACGUCCGAAUUGGAUUUAAUACGAAAUGAAGGAUAUUCCAAGACUGAUGCACAGAACGCUUUGACAUGAACUGGACUACCAGGCUUCAAAUCAACGCAAUCUUAGGCUUCCUCCUUCGAUCUACGAUGGAGUUUUCAGUGUUCUUGGAUAGGGAGGAGUGGUGUCUUGAUGAACACACAAGAACACGCACAGCAAUGAAGGGCAAACUGGCCCUUAGUAACCCAAUUGCACAGCAAUUGAAAGAAAAACACACUUAGUGAAUUUUCUGUUUUUUUUUAUUCAUCAAACUUGUUCAUUACAAAGCUAAUGCCAUCUAUUUAUAGACAUAUGGGACGAGGGAAUUACAAUGAGAAGACUUAUGACACGUCCAACUAAUAAUAACGGUCAUUACAAGACACGUGCCAAACACGUGCACAUUAAAAACAUGAAAAAAACAAGCUAAGUUAAAAACUGAUAUUCUGACAGACAACUAUCGAACAGGCGAACCUUCACUCAACUUAUUGUGCUCUUCCAAAGGUAGAUGAUGGCCACUAAGAGUCUUGGAAGCAAGUUUCUAGUGUAGAGAUUCCAUUUCUACCCUUGGUGGUCCCGUAGGUCAGACGAUGCGCUCAAACCAAGUCUCACAAUGUGUCCUGGUCAUAAGAUCAAUUCUGUACUGUUCUGCACCAGCUGUGAGUGGGUGACCUUCAUCCCCUCUUCUUGGGUUCUUCCAAUGGCUAGUAAUAGUAUCCUUGAAUCAUGGUAGAUAGAUCUAAGUGUAAAGAUUCCAAAUCUACCCUUAGAGUUCCCCAAGGAGUCUAGGCUCGUCCUAGCACAAGUCCUCAAGGUCAGCUGGUCAGUGGAAGUCAUCAGUUGUGCUCUGUUCUGUUCUGGGCUAGCUGUUGACUGGCUGAUCUUCACCAUUGAUUUCCAUGGGUUUUUAAUGAUGAAUAAUAAUUUCCUUGGGCCAAGGUGCAAAGUUUCCAGUACCAAGAUUCCAAUUUCAUCUUGCAUGGCUUCUGAAUCCCUCUUGGUUGAACUAGGCAAGUCUUGCAAGGUCAGCUGUUUGCCAGCUUUGAUCAGAGGCUGCUGUACUGUUGCUUUGAGCUUCUGUUCUUCCUCUUUUGUUGCUGAAUCUGUGUGAUAGCUUGCAUAUGACUCAUUGCUUUGUUCUUCAUUCAUGCUUCCUGUAUGAAUCCUCAUUGAACCAUCCCAAUAUGUCUGCAAAAUCCAAAUUCUGGUAUUUCUUAAGGAAGCUGAAAAAGGUUAAGAAAAGCAAUGGUCAGAUCCUGGCCAUUAAUGAAGUAAUG